GACGAACGCUGGCGGCGUGCUUAACACAUGCAAGUCGAACGGAAAGGCCCUGCUUUUGUGGGGUGCUCGAGUGGCGAACGGGUGAGUAACGCGUGAGUAACCUGCCCUUGACUUUGGGAUAACUUCAGGAAACUGGGGCUAAUACCGGAUAGGAGCUCCUGCUGCAUGGUGGGGGUUGGAAAGUUUCGGCGGUUGGGGAUGGACUCGCGGCUUAUCAGCUUGUUGGUGGGGUAGUGGCUUACCAGGGCUUUGACGGGUAGCCGGCCUGAGAGGGUGACCGGCCACAUUGGGACUGAGAUACGGCCCAGACUCCUACGGGAGGCAGCAGUGGGGAAUAUUGCACAAUGGGCGGAAGCCUGAUGCAGCAACGCCGCGUGCGGGAUGACGGCCUUCGGGUUGUAAACCGCUUUCGCCUGUGACGAAGCGUGAGUGACGGUAAUGGGUAAAGAAGCACCGGCUAACUACGUG
rnacentral:rRNA from 1 species